rnacentral:rRNA from 1 species
GACGAACGCUGGCGGCGUGCUUAACACAUGCAAGUCGAACGGAAAGGCCCUGCUUUUGUGGGGUGCUCGAGUGGCGAACGGGUGAGUAACACGUGAGUAACCUGCCCUUGACUUUGGGAUAACUUCAGGAAACUGGGGCUAAUACCGGAUAGGAGCUCCUGCUGCAUGGUGGGGGUUGGAAAGUUUCGGCGGUUGGGGAUGGACUCGCGGCUUAUCAGCUUGUUGGUGGGGUAGUGGCUUACCAAGGCUUUGGCGGGUAGCCGGCCUGGGAGGGUGACCGGCCACAUUGGGCCUGAGAUACGGCCCAGACUCCUACGGGAGGCAGCAGUGGGGAGGAUUGCACAAUGGGCGGAAGCCUGAUGAAGCAACGCCGCGUGCGGGAUGCCGGCCUUCGGGUUGUAAACCGCUUUCGCUUGUGACGAAGCGUGAGUGACGGUAAUGGGUAAAGAAGCACCGGCUAACUACGUG